AGUGAACGCUGGCGGUAGGCCUAACACAUGCAAGUCGAACGGCAGCACAGUAAGAGCUUGCUCUUACGGGUGGCGAGUGGCGGACGGGUGAGGAAUACAUCGGAAUCUACUUUUUCGUGGGGGAUAACGUAGGGAAACUUACGCUAAUACCGCAUACGACCUACGGGUGAAAGCAGGGGAUCCUCGGACCUUGCGCGAUUGAAUGAGCCGAUGUCGGAUUAGCUAGUUGGCGGGGUAAAGGCCCACCAAGGCGACGAUCCGUAGCUGGUCUGAGAGGAUGAUCAGCCACACUGGAACUGAGACACGGUCCAGACUCCUACGGGAGGCAGCAGUGAGGAAUAUUGGACAAUGGGCGCAAGCCUGAUCCAGCCAUACCGCGUGGGUGAAGAAGGCCUUCGGGUUGUAAAGCCCUUUUGUUGGGAAAGAAAAGCAGCAGGUUAAUACCCCGCUGUUCUGACGGUACCCAAAGAAUAAGCACCGGCUAACUUCGUG
rnacentral:rRNA from 1 species